rnacentral:misc_RNA from 1 species
GCAGCUGGUCGAUUAGAUCGAGUGUAUGCUAUUUCUUUCUUGGUUUCUGUCCUUUUCCUCAUCUGACGCCUAAUUCCAUGGUCUAAUAGUUAUAAGGUUCUCUUUGUGGUUCAAGGAGAAAUGUUGGCUCCUGUAUCUCUGUAGACAAAGUAAAGAACUUCUUAAUGUUUGCAUCUGUUCCUACUAAAGUGGUUGAGAUAAUUCCUGAAUCAGAAAUAAUGUACCGAAGAGAAAAUAAUUCUCAUUAAUUUCAGAGUAAUUAGAGUGCAAAUGCAUACACUUAUUCUUCCUAUAAUUAUGCUAUACAGUUACUUUAAUAAUGCUCAACUAAUUAGGAAUACAAAUAUGCAACUAAUUAGGUAGUUGACUUCCCAAUUUCCCAUGACAAGUAUUAAUUGUUUUCUUGAUAUGAAAGCAUUAAUUGCUGUCAACGGAUGAUAACCAAAAUGUCUAUUAUCUGCUCACAUACAACUUAGGAUCUAAGCCACCAUUGAACUCUUGGACCAUUUCUUGAGCCAAUUGUUGCCUUGGUGCAUGAUUAUUUAGCCUUUCAACUUUUUUCUUGCUAUAAAUUAUUUUUUGACCAGCACAUGCAACAAGAUUAUUUA